rnacentral:rRNA from 1 species
ACGAACGCUGGCGGCGUGCUUCACACAUGCAAGUCGCACGGAAAGGCCCUGCUUUUGUGGGGUGCUCGAGUGGCGAACGGGUGAGUAACACGUGAGUAACCUGCCCUUGACUUUGGGAUAACUUCAGGAAACUGGGGCUAAUACCGGAUAGGAGCUCCUGCUGCAUGGUGGGGGUUGGAAAGUUUCGGCGGUUGGGGAUGGACUCGCGGCUUAUCAGCUUGUUGGUGGGGUAGUGGCUUACCAAGGCUUUGACGGGUAGCCGGCCUGAGAGGGUGACCGGCCACAUUGGGACUGAGAUACGGCCCAGACUCCUACGGGAGGCAGCAGUGGGGAAUAUUGCACAAUGGGCGGAAGCCUGAUGCAGCAACGCCGCGUGCGGGAUGACGGCCUUCGGGUUGUAAACCGCUUUCGCCUGUGACGAAGCGUGAGUGACGGUAAUGGGGAAAGAAGCACCGGCGAACUACGU